rnacentral:tRNA from 1 species
UCCUUGGUGGGUCAGUGGUUAAGACUCUGCACUUCCAAUGCAGGGAUGCAGAGGGCACAGGUUCAAUCCCUGGUCUGGGAG